rnacentral:miRNA from 1 species
UAGUGCUGCAAUGUAAGCAUUGCAGCUUUUCUGGAACUGCAAUGUUUUACAUUGCAGCACUA